rnacentral:rRNA from 1 species
GAGUUUGAUCAUGGCUCAGGAUGAACGCUAGCGGCAGGCUUAAUACAUGCAAGUCGAGGGGCAGCAGCUUUAUAGCAAUAUAGAGGCUGGCGACCGACAAACGGGUGCGGAACACGUACACAACCUUCCUUGAAUAGGGGGAUAGCCCAUAGAAAUGUGGAUUAAUACCCCGUAAUAUAGCGGUGUGGCAUCACACUGUUAUUAUAGUUUCGGCGAUUCGAGAUGGGUGUGCGGCUGAUUAGGUAGUUGGCGGGGUAAAGGCCCACCAAGCCUUCGAUCAGUAGCUGAUGUGAGAGCAUGAUCAGCCACACGGGCACUGAGACACGGGCCCGACUCCUACGGGAGGCAGCAGUAAGGAAUAUUGGUCAAUGGACGCAAGUCUGAACCAGCCAUGCCGCGUGAAGGAUGAAGGUCCUCUGGAUUGUAAACUUCUUUUAUAGGGGGCGAAAAAAGGUCUUUCUAGAUCACUUGACAGUACCCUAUGAAUAAGCACCGGCUAACUCCGUGCCAGCAGCCGCGGUAAUACGGAGGGUGCAAGCGUUAUCCGGAUUCACUGGGUUUAAAGGGUGCGUAGGCGGGUAGGUAAGUCAGAGGUGAAAUCCUGGAGCUUAACUCCAGAACUGCCUUUGAUACUAUCUAUCUUGAAUAUGGUGGAGGUAAGCGGAAUAUGUCAUGUAGCGGUGAAAUGCAUAGAUAUGACAUAGAACACCUAUUGCGAAAGCAGCUUACUACGCCUAUAUUGACGCUGAGGCACGAAAGCGUGGGGAUCAACAGGAUUAGAUACCCUGGUAGUCCACGCCCUAAACGAUGAUUACUCGACGUAUGCGAUACACAGUAUGCGUCUGAGCGAAAGCWUUAGUAAUCCACCUGGGAGUACGAACGCAGGGUUGAAACUCAAAGGAAUUGGCGGGGUCGCAMAGCGGUGGAGCAUGKUGGUUUAAUUCGAUGAUACGCGAGGAACCUACCUGGGCWGAUGCAGUCUGACGUGGGUGAAGCUCAUUCGUAGCAUUASCCRAAUGUAGGUGCUGCAUGGUCWKCYGCAGCAUCGCUGUUGRGAG